UCCUACGGGACGCAGCAGUGAGGAAUAUUGGUCAAUGGGCGAGAGCCUGAACCAGCCAAGUCGCGUGAGGGAGUACUGCCCUAUGGGUUGUAAACCUCUUUUGUCGGGGAGCAAAAGCCGGACGUGUCCGGCUGUGAGAGUACCCGAAGAAAAAGCACCGGCUAACUCCGUGCCAGCAGCCGCGGUAAUACGGAGGGUGCAAGCGUUACUCGGAAUCACUGGGCGUAAAGAGUGCGUAGGCGGGGUAAUAAGUCAGAUGUGAAAUCCUGUAGCUUAACUACAGAACUGCAUUUGAAACUGUUACU
rnacentral:rRNA from 1 species